rnacentral:rRNA from 1 species
AUGUCACGUCGAGGUACUGCAGAAAAAAGAACUACAAAAUCCGAUCCAAUUUUUCGUAGUCGAUUAGUUAACAUGGUGGUUGACCGUAUUAUGAAAGACGAAAAAUAUCAUUGGCUUAUCAAAUUCUCUAUCGAGCCGAAAAAGAUUAAAAAAAGACAGAAACAAAUCCACUAUUGGUUUUACAUCAAGCAAUAUGUAGAGUAA